AUAAUCAAAAGAAAGAAAGAGCUUAAUAGGAGCAACAGUAUUCGCCUCCGUACUAACUUUUAGAAAAACCCAGAACUGGAAAGGUUGUUAUAGAGAAUAGGAGAACAACAGCAGCCUGAAACCACCAUGACUGAUCAAAGCUUAUGUCUUUAUCAUAACACACAUUUAUAGCCCUAAUCCUAAACUUAAGUGAGUGAGUGA